rnacentral:ncRNA from 1 species
GGGCUAUCUGGAUGCGUCGGUUUCCGAAAGGAAUUGAAAGGGAAUCCGCCGCCGGCCCGGGGUCCGACCCCGCAAGGCGAACCGGAACUGCCCCCGCAACUGUAGGCGGCUAGGGUUUUCGCAACGCAUCCACUGUGGCGCUUGUCAUGGGAAGGACGCGACAACCCCGCGACCCGCCAGUCAGGAGACCUGCCGGCACAAAUGCAACGCG